ACAGAGGGUGCGAGCGUUAAUCGGAAUUACUGGGCGUAAAGCGCGCGUAGGCGGCUUUUCAAGUCGAUUGUGAAAUCCCCGGGCUUAACCUGGGAACUGCCUUUGUGACUGCACGGCUAGAGUGUGUCAGAGGGGGGUAGAAUUCCACGUGUAGCAGUGAAAUGCGUAGAUAUGUGGAGGAAUACCGAUGGCGAAGGCAGCCCCCUGGGAUAACACUGACGCUCAUGCACGAAAGCGUGGGGAGCAAACAGGA
rnacentral:rRNA from 1 species